rnacentral:rRNA from 1 species
CCUACGGGUGGGCUGCAGUGGGGAAUAUUGGACAAUGGGCGAAAGCCUGAUCCAGCCAUGCCGCGUGUGUGAAGAAGGCCUUCGGGUUGUAAAGCACUUUCAGUGGGGAAGAAAGCCUUGGGGCUAAUACCCUCGAGGAAGGACAUCACCCACAGAAGAAGCACCGGCUAACUCCGUGCCAGCAGCCGCGGUAAUACGGAGGGUGCGAGCGUUAAUCGGAAUUACUGGGCGUAAAGCGCGCGUAGGCGGUCUGAUAAGCCGGUUGUGAAAGCCCCGGGCUCAACCUGGGAAUGGCAUCCGGAACUGUAAGGCUAGAGUGCAGGAGAGGAAGGUAGAAUUCCCGGUGUAGCGGUGAAAUGCGUAGAGAUCGGGAGGAAUACCAGUGGCGAAGGCGGCCUUCUGGACUGACACUGACGCUGAGGUGCGAAAGCGUGGGUAGCAAACAGGAUUAGAUACCCCGGUAGUC